AAUAUUGCGCAAUGGAGGCAACUCUGACGCAGCGACGCCGCGUGAGCGAUGAAGGUCUUCGGAUCGUAAAGCUCUGUCCUUGGGGCAUCAGAUCGAAUGAUUUGACGGUACCCGCGGACGAAGCCCCGGCUAACUACGUUGUAGCCGCCGCGGUAAUACGUAGGGGGCAAGCGUUGUCCGGAAUUAUGGGGCGUAAAGGGUGCGUAGGCGGCUGUUUAAGUCAGAUGUGAAAGGCCACGGCUUAACCGUGGGGGUGCAUUUGAAACUGGAAGGCUUGAGUAUCGGAGAGGGUAGUGGAAUUCCCAGUGUAGCAGUGAAAUGCGUAGAUAUUGGGAGGAACACCAGUGGCGAAGGCGACUACCUGGACGAAAACUGACGCUGAUGCACGAAAGCUAGGGGAGCAAACA
rnacentral:rRNA from 1 species